rnacentral:rRNA from 1 species
UACAGAGGUCUCGAGCGUUGUUCGGAUUUAUUGGGCGUAAAGGGUGCGUAGGCGGUGUGGCAAGUCAAGUGUGAAAUCUCGGAGCUCAACUUCGAAACUGCACUUGAUACUACUAUGCUAGAGGGUUGUAGAGGAGGCCGGAAUUCACGGUGUAGCAGUGAAAUGCGUAGAUAUCGUGAGGAAGACCAGUUGCGAAAGCGGGUCUCUGGGCAAUUCCUGACGCUGAGGCACGAAGGCUAGGGGAGCAAACGGG